rnacentral:rRNA from 1 species
AUACGUAGGGCGCGAGCGUUGUCCGGAUUUAUUGGGCGUAAAGAGCUCGUAGGCGGUUUGUCGCGUCUGCUGUGAAAUCCUCUGGCUUAACUGGGGGCGUGCAGUGGGUACGGGCAGACUGGAGUGCGGUAGGGGAGACUGGAAUUCCUGGUGUAGCGGUGGAAUGCGCAGAUAUCAGGAGGAACACCGGUGGCGAAGGCGGUAUUCUGGGCCGUUACUGACGGUGGAGAGCGAAGGCAUGGGGAGCGAAAAGGAUUGGAUCCCCGGGUAGUCCAUGCCGUAAACGUUGGGAACUAGGUGUGGGGUACAUUCCACGGGUCCUGGGCCGUAGCUAACACAUUAAGUUCCCCGCCUGGGGAGUACGGCCGCAAGGCUAAAACUCAAAGGAAUUGACGGGG